rnacentral:rRNA from 1 species
UAUAUCAGUCAUGCAUAGCAUAUCAAUAAGCGGAGGAAAAGAAACUAACAAGGAUUCCCUUAGUAACGGCGAGUGAAGCGGGAAGGAGCUCAAAUUUGAAAUCUUCAAGGGUUUCCCUUGACGAAUUGUAGUUUAAUAGAAGUGUUUUCUGUUAGUAGAGGUGGCUAAAAGUUCUUUGGAAUAGGACAUCAUAGAGGGUGAGAAUCCCGUAUUUGAUCACUUCUUACUAACGUUGUGAUACACUUUCAACGAGUCGGAUUGUUUGGGAAUGCAGUCCAAAAUGGGUGGUAAAUUUCAUCUAAAGCUAAAUAUUGGCGAGAGACCGAUAGCGAACAAGUACCGUGAGGGAAAGAUGAAAAGAACUUUGAAAAGAGAGUUAAACAGUACGUGAAAUUGUCAAAAGGGAAGCGUUUGACACCAGUGUUGUUUUUCCGAAAAUCAAUUACGAAUGUUUUGUUUUUGAGGAGUUAUGACUUCAUCGGCUUGCUCCUUUCUUUACGAAACUUUCUUAAUGCACUUUUCGGUUAACAAGUCAACAUCAAUUUCUUUUGUUGUAAAAGGGUAUGAGGAAGGUGGCUUUCUUUUCGGAGAAAGUGUUUAUAGCCUUGUACCUCUGCAAUCGGAGAGAUUGAGGUCUGCAGCGUAGAUCCUUCGGGGUUAGAUACAUUUGUGCUAAGUUAUAGUCUUUCAUAGACAACUUGUUGACUAUAAUUUAAGUCCUUGUAACUUACUCGCUUACUGCUAUUUUACCUACGCUUAGGAUGUUGAUGUGAUACUGCGAGCA